UUACAUUAUAUUGUAGUAUAGCAUUUAAAUUUUUGAGAUUUAAGGAUUUAAUAUAAAAUUAAAUUAUGUA
rnacentral:tRNA from 1 species